rnacentral:pre_miRNA from 1 species
GAUCGGCCAUCGGCCGGGGAUAUUGUCCUGUCACAGCAGUACGCCUUUAAAGAGUUACUGGUGUGAUGGGACAUUGUCCUCGUCCUGGUGCUCACCACACGUCACACAGCUC